rnacentral:lncRNA from 1 species
CGCCCACCGCAAUCCUAAGCAGCGGCCGUGGUGGUGGCUACCUGAGGAGUGGCAGCAGUACUACCUUCAUCAGUUUCCAAGUUCGCUGCGCUGAUUCCAAUCCAAACCGCGGAUUCGGUCCCUCUAACAAAGGAAACAAGGCACUUACCUCCUCCAUAUUGUGUUUUUCUUCUUUUUCUUUCUCUUGUUCAUUGUGAUAAUUUCAUGGCUGAUGAUAUCUUGAGCUCUUUCCUAUUUUGAAACGAAAUUCAGGCCUCUCUAGACGAGAAAGGCUCAAAGAGACCGCCAAGGUAAUUAGUUGCUUUUAGCUGGAAAAUUGAUACAAGCUGGAAUUUCUGAUUGUAUUCUCUCAAUAAAUGCGAACUUAGGAGUGAUAAUUUCGCUUGAUGAACGAUCUGGGAAGUAUAUUCUUACCUUUCUUUUCCUCUAAUGCAGGAAAUCAAAUAAACAAUCUUCCUCUUUGCCGACGCGUAAGUUCAUGAUUCAGGAAAAGUCGACUUAACCUCUCAAUUUGAUCAUGCCCAUUUAUGGACUAAACUGAGUAGUGACGAUUCAUGAAUAGAGAUUUCCACUUUCCUUUUUGGCCUCAUUAUCAAUUUCCAUACCCCCCUAAGGAGUCUGUUAGCAGCUGGAAUGAUCUUCAUCGCUGUGUUCUGUUACCUAUGGCUUGUUCAACUGGUCUUUCUGAUUCAUUCACCUUGCCAUCUAAGAUUACAUUGGGCUAACACGAAUUUUCGAUGUAGAGGCACC